UUUAAUCAAUUUUAGAAUAAGGCUGUAACAUAACAUAAAAUGUGGAAAAGUCAAGGAGUCUGAAUACUUCCCGAAUUCACUGUAAAUGGUUAGCUGAAUCUGUGUAGCGAAACCGAAUGUAAUCUCGCAAAACUUCCAGAUGUUUGUACAAGGUUAAUAAAGUGUACAGUUUAACAAAAAAAAAAGAAGAUUCCCGUCGACAAAGGCAUAUCUAUAAUCUCUAGGAACGCUAUCAAAAACAUUGAAAAACAGAUUUUAUCCAGGGUCUUCCAUUCCAACGAUAAGCCUAGUAUUGUCAUUUUCCAACUGGAAAACACUUGCUUCUUUGACAUGUCCAUAACACAUAAGGCUGUAAUUCAUUUUGGAUGGCAGGUACAGGAACAAUGCUCAACUAGGAUGCUGUCCGUAUACAACAUCCUAGUUGCGAUUUGAAGCUGCUUAGGACUAUGUAACAUGUCCCAUAACCCUGUUCAUGUCUAUGUAACUGCCAUUUAAAUACAUGGCUUUUAUUUAGCGCCACUAAAAAAUACUGAACUGAAAAGUUGUUGCAAAGUUAAUCUGAAACUGUGGGAAGCAUACAAGAACCACUCAUCAUAUAUUCCUGCCUCCAUCAGUACAUAAAUAAAAUAGAACCCUCAACAUAACCAUUACUCAGAGUUCCCUGUAUGUCAAUAUCAAUUGUUUUCUCCCUUACAGAAGGCCUGCAAAUCAGGCCAUUUAAAUGUUAGGCAGUGUUUUAUAGUUUUAUUGAUCUCAUCUUAAAAAAGCUGCGUAUUGGAAGAUGGAUGUCUUUUACCUUUCUGAGGCACAUUCAAUCAUAUUUGCUUAUUCCUGUCCUGCCCAGCCAUCAAGUUGUUAUAAUUAGAAAUCACAAGCAGAGAAGUAGUCGUAACUGUUGUCUGUCCUGCCUAUUAACUAGCUGUCAUGGGUAUCUGCACUGAAUUCCUACAGUUGUUGAUAGGAAAGACUUUGAGAGAUUCAUAGGAUCACUGUCAAUGGUACAGGUACAGAAUGUUACAUGAAACAUGUUAUUAAACAAUAUAUAAGUACAGAAAGGUAUAAUAGUCUUUAUGAAUGGUAUACUAUACAGGUAUAGAAUUGAACGGGAGAGUGUCCGUAUGAAUGGUAGAUAGGUAGAAUGGUAUACAUGUCUCCUUAUGAAUGGUAUAGGUACAGAAUUGUAUGGUGUCUGUAUGAACGUUAUACAGGUAUUGAAUGGUAAAGGGCAGCCAUACGCAACUGGCAGACAGCGAUCCGGACCCAGGACAGGGUCAAUACAGAUCGCGGGUCCAGGCUUUUUUAAAUUUGAUUUAUUAUUAUUUAUUAUUUUGUUAGUGCAUGGGCAGUUUCCCUCUUAUGUCAUUCACUGACAGACCUUGGAGAGCUAUUUAUGACCUGUCAGACAUGUCGAGUUGAUCAACUAACCCAUGUUAGCUAGGUAGGUAAGUUAGGCUAACCAUAUAUCUAAAUCUUGUAGUUAUCAUGGCCAUAUUACGUGGGCAGGGGCCUCGACCCCCAGGGGGCCCCCAUUUGAGUUUAUUGAGUUACUCAGGUAUAUUUUCUCAAAUAAGACAUGGCAAAAUGUGUAGAAUUGCAAGAAAUGACAUCUGAAACGGCAACAUUUUCUAUCCACCCCAUUGCAAAUUGUGUAGAAUUGCAGGAAAUAUGCUUUAAAUCUGCAAAAUGUUCUCACCGCCAACCAGAGGGGUGUGAACAGUUUAAACCGUUUGGGGUUGCAGGGUGGUAGUUUGUUUCUUCGCCGAUAAAUGACAAUAUCCAUCUGGACCUCCUAGGAAAUUUGCGUGAAUGGACCAUCUCAAUUAGUACUUGAGUAACCCUGGUAUAGGAGAUAGUCCUUGUGAAUGGCAUAGGGAUACAAUGUCUUUGUUUUUCUCAGUGAUUUACCAGACCUUAAUGAAACCCACUCACUCCAACACCUUUACCACCUCCUGCCCUGGACAAUCAAUCCACCUGGCCUGCCCUUUUCCCUGACACACAGUCCCAAAUAACACUGCUUAAAUGUCACUCACCUACUGGCAUUUCAUUGGAUAAAACAGGGCUUAGAGCAGAGACAGCAAGUCAGGAAAUAGAAAUUAUGACACAAAACUAUUUUGUCUGUUCAACCUCAAAUCAGUAUAAAAAUUGAUUUAUAAGCUUCCCUGUGGCUCAGCUGGUAGAGCAUGGUGUUUGCAACACCAGCAUGGUGUGUGCAACGCCAGGGUUGUGGGUUCGAUUCCCACGGGGGGCCAGUACAAAAAAAAAUGCAUGAAAUGUAUGCAUUCACUACUGUAAGUCGCUCUGGAUAAGAGCGUCUGCUAAAUGACUAAAAUGUAAAAAUGAUAAGCUCAGUGGUGGUUUCAUAAAUGUGUUGAAUGAACAUCUCUGAGGUAAGACUUCAGCCCUGAGGUAAGACUUCAGCCCUGAGGUAAGACACCAGAAGCAGACUAUGGCACCUUUUAGUCGAGAUAUAUCCGUGUUAGCAGAGAUUUAUCCAUCCAUCAUGUGGUAUGCCCUGCCUGUAUGCCCUGCCUGUAUGCCCUGCCUCUGUUCCAGGAGAUAUUCCUCAGGUGGGCUGUCUCUUGUACUGUGGGCCUUCGUGAGAGAGACCUUCAAUGUGAGUACUUAAAUCAUAGCUUCAUGCAUACAUAUAGAACACUUUACUCAUAAACUGCUGUGUAUCAGAAGAACAGUUCAACAUGGCCUCAAGUUUCCCUCUUUGUCCCAUAGACCGUCCUAAAUGUCAUAACCUUUAUCAGCGUGGCUGGGCUAGACUGGGUGGCUGGACUGUUGCUGGGAACAAGGAUAGGAAGGACUCUUUCUCUGUAUACGAAUCGUGUCACGAUUGAAGAGGGGUUGGAUCAACACGGCGUAAGGUCACCAUUUCUUUUACACCUCUUUUUGAAUUGAAAUAGUGUGUACAUAUGAAUACCUUCCACAAUGGGUACUUUACACAAUAACAUGAAUGUCUCAUAUCCCCUCAACAGCCCUCCUUCUCCAUCACCCUCAGACACCCUCUCUCACCCUUCACCUUUACUUUACAAAUAAAUACGUAUUCGUUCAUAUA